rnacentral:tRNA from 1 species
AAAAAAUUAGUUAAACUGGUAACGUUGGUAUGCCAAACAGAAAUUCUGAAAUAACUGAUGUUUUCUA